rnacentral:rRNA from 1 species
GUAUUAAAGGUGUUGCCUGCCCAGUGAAACAUUUAAACGGCCGCGGUAUCCUAACCGUGCAAAGGUAGCGUAAUCACUUGUCUUUUAAAUAAAGACUCGUAUGAAAGGCUAAAUGAAGACGAAACUGUCUCUUAUGAUUGACCAGUAAAACUGAUCUCCAAGUACAAAAGCUUGGAUAAACACAUAAGACGAGAAGACCCUGUGGAGCUUAAAACUUCACUAUUAAAACAAAUAGCACAGGUUUUAAGUUGGGGCGACUUCGGAACAAAAUAAAACUUCCGAGCACAGAACCAAUAAUUCUAACAUAGACCUACAAGUCAAAGAACAAUAUUGACCCAGUCACACUGAACAACGAACCAAGUUACCCCAGGGAUAACAGCGCCAUCUUCUUCAAGAGUCCCUAUCGACAAGAAGGUUUACGACCUCGAUGUUGGAUCAGGACACCCAAAUGGUGCAACAG